rnacentral:lncRNA from 1 species
GCUGUGUUUGAGCAGCAUUGAUGUGUUCUUGCACGAGUUCGGGAAAUUGGGGUGCUGAGGGGCACUCAUGAAUAGGAUGGGAUGGGCUAGAACAGAUAGCACACACUUGUGCUUGGGAAGAGUUAAUGAAAUGUCCACCUAUCAUCAGUUGGUCAAUCUUAUGGGACAAUGCAUCUACCUUGCUAGACAGGUCCAUAGA